rnacentral:rRNA from 1 species
CGUGUAGGCGGUCUGAUUAGUCUGAUGUGAAAGCCCUGGGCUCAACCCAGGAAGUGCAUUGGAUACUGUCAGACUUGAAUACGGGAGAGGGUAGUGGUAAUUCCUAGUGUAGGAGUGAAAUCCGUAGAUAUUAGGAGGAACACCGGUGGCGAAGGCGGCUACCUGGACCGAUAUUGACGCUGAGACGCGAAAGCGUGGGUAGCAAACA